UUGUAUACAUACACCAUCAUGUACCAAUGUACACGAAAAACAUAAACAUAUCUGUUCCUGUAAUUAUGGAAGGUAUAGUCUGCACAAAUAAAAAAUUUGAAAUCAAUUUAAAAGGGUAUAUUUGCAAAUCAAAAACCUUUAGAUCAGAAAUGAAUAUAUUCAAAUUUCUAGGGACCAAAUAUGCAAUAAAGCUAAACUGGCCAUUGUUGCCCAUCAAGCUUUUGCAACAAUGGCGACGAGAAAGAGACGGCGACGAGAAAGAGGCGGCGACGAGAAAGAAGCAACGAGGAGACAUAGACGAGAUGGAGGCAGAGGUUUCAGUCGACGGAGGCGGAGAGAGAGAGCCGGUUACAGGAGGCAACCGGAAUCUUCGGUUUUGAGUUGAAGAAAUCUUUCUACGGAGGUUCUAAAUCCUUUUGCCUCUUCUCCGUAUUGAUUUUUUGGAUCCGUAGAUCUGCACACAAAAAAAGUAAAUUAGUGAUACAUAAAGUAAAGGAGAAAAAAUUAUGAUGGUGAAAAGUAAUGAUUUGAAAAAGAACGUAGAUUACAUAGAAAAAAGGAAGAAGUUGAACAUACUUCUCAAAAUGAAAAGAAAAGCAUGGUGAUGAUCAGAUAGAAUAGGAGAGAGAUAAAGCAAGUUGUUAAUUGUGAGACCAUUUUAGUCACAUGCAUUAAGUUAGUAAUUAUUUGAUUUUAGUUAUAAAAAAGUAUUCCAGUAGCUGAAACUUUUUUUUUUGUAAUAAAAACAUCAAAAAUGUCUUUGAGUUUGAGUGUUAAUAACUCAACUUUUUGAUGCAGACAAAUAUUAUUUUACUAGCGACAAAAAGUUUAACGGGGAAGAAAGUGUGCACGUUAGCAAAAGUCAGAACCUCAAACUUUUACAGCUCCGUCUGACGUGGACCUCUGGCUCCUAUCGACGUCCCUUCCUUUUCUCCAAGAGACUUCUCUCUCUCUCCC
rnacentral:lncRNA from 1 species